GUGGGGAAUAUUGGACAAUGGGCGAAAGCCUGAUCCAGCCAUGCCGCGUGUGUGAAGAAGGUCUUCGGAUUGUAAAGCACUUUAAGUUGGGAGGAAGGGCAGUAAGUUAAUACCUUGCUGUUUUGACGUUACCGACAGAAUAAGCACCGGCUAACUUCGUGCCAGCAGCCGCGGUAAUACGAAGGGUGCAAGCGUUAAUCGGAAUUACUGGGCGUAAAGCGCGCGUAGGUGGUUUUGUAAGUUGGAGGUGAAAUCCCCGGGCUCAACCUGGGAACUGACUACAAAACUGCAUGACUAGAGUACGGUAGAGGGUAGUGGAAUUUCCUGUGUAGCGGUGAAAUGCGUAGAUAUAGGAAGGAACACCAGUGGCGAAGGCGACUACCUGGACUGAUACUGACACUGAGGUGCGAAAGCGUGGGGAGCAAACAGGAUUAGAUACCCUAGUAGUCC
rnacentral:rRNA from 1 species